ensembl:lncRNA
UUUAAAUCCAUUAGCUUCACAUUAAAGACAAUGUGUCUAAUAAUACAAUUGUCUUAUGCAUCUGGAGAUGAUAAUCUGUUUUUUUUUCUCUACAGAAAUGGAAUAUGUUUUCAAUUUGCAAAAACAAGAUCCAAAAAGAGUAGUCUGUUAUGACAAGACCAAGGAUGGACCUUAUCAGUGAGGUAGUGAAUGUCAACAAUUACAUGUACCUUCUCCCUACCUGGGUGCUGCAGAUGUCUUCUUUGGCGGUUAUGAUCCCUUUGGAAAACAAAAUCGAGUCAACUGUGACAUACAUUUAUUGGAAUACAGAAUGGGAUAAUGGGAUUCGUUUUUUUGGGGGUGCGUCAGAGAAGAGGAAGAUGACAAGGGAAGGUGUAAUAUGAGGAAAUAUGAAUCCAAUUAUUGGCAUUAAGUUGAGCGCAGGAGCUUCGGCUGACGCUCUGGACUACACAAAGACUCAAACACUUGAAAGAAAUUUUGGGUGCCUCUCCCAUGUGAAUGGACACUUGUGACACUUUCUGCUGUAAUAGAUGUUGGUCUCAUAGCUCCUUCCUCUGGGUGUUGAGGACAUAAGACUGAGGAAGGCGCAAACUGCACCUCCCGAGCCUUUAUCCUCUUGCCCAUUGAACUGUGGUGACUAUGUCUGACAGUAGGAUGCCUCAAUCGUUUUAUUUCCUCAUGCAUUCAAAUUAGUCCAAUAUAUGUAGAUUUGUGUAUGUGUUAUGAUUUAUGCAUACACAUCAGUAUAUGUGCACAUUUGAAUACAUUUUAAAAGAAAAUUAACUAGAAAUUCUAAGAAUGCCUUGAAAUUUACAAAAUGUGAAGGUUAUGAGAAGGCUGGUAGUAUUGAUAAGCCUGUUAGGCUGCAGGUUAAAUGAGAAAUAUAUAUGUUUAGGGAACGCAUUUGUCUUAAUUACUUUAGUGAAUUAACUAUGCCCAGCAAACACCUGACUGCUUGGUAUCAGUUUUGACAACUAUUUUACUCUGUUUUGUAUGGUUUAGCGAUUUCAGAUGUGAUCUACAGUAGCAAAAAACUCCCAGAGCACAGAUAGAGACGUGUCAAAUCAGAAUGAAACUAAAGCCAUGUCAUAAUCUCGUGGUUCGGUUGUCAGUUUUUGUUAGCCGUGCUAAUCAGUAAAAAAGUUGUGGCAUUAAUUGUCUUCAUCUGAGUUUAGCUUUAUUUGUACUUUUAUUUCUUCUUAAUCCUUGCUGUUUUCAGUCUACAUAUUUCAUUAAUUUCAUAUUAAGAUUGAUGUAGGCUAUUCCUUAAUUUUAGAUGUAGGUUCUCUUGAGCUUUUCACUUGAUUGUGGGAGUUUUCAGGAAGAUGAGAAAAGUGACAUUGUGGAUCAAGGGCUAUCUAUGUAUGUGAUAUUUCAAAAUAACUUUUUUUUGUUUGGUGUAUUUCAUCAGUAAGGUUCAAAAUGUCUAAUUCAUUAGGCCUGUCUAAGCUAUAUUUGAUGACACCAUGUGGAGAAAUGGCAAAUUUCUUAUUUUCUUGCUCAAGCAAUUUGCUUUUGAUUUGCUGACCAACCUGUUCAGCAUAGGAUACUAUUUGCCCUUUCAGCAUUUGGUCUUUAAUCUCUCUCUCUUACGACAAUGUAUUUCUUACACGUGUUUACUGGUGUGGAUGAGAUGUGAGAAGUCUCAGUAUAAUAUAACCAAGCAAAUAUUAGACAGAAAACAAUCGCAAUACUAAUCAUUUCAUGUCCCAGACCAGCCGCUCUUUGUUAUACUGUGCAUAGAGAUUUGGUGGUGAUGGCGUUUCAUAAUACCGUAUCAUCGAGUUAGUCUUUGAUCAAAGUGACUGUCAAGAGGCCUAAACAUGUCAAGGCAGGCCAAAUUUGGCAAUACAUUGAGUGGACAACCACGAUGUCAUUGGUACUACCAUCUCCCUCUCAGUUGGGUUUUUGGUUUUGCGCUAAGGAAGGACAUUAGUUUCUUUUCUCUAGCAUAAAUUAUUUGGUUGUGUGGAUUAAUAGCACUUUAUUUAACAUAGUUUUUUUAUCUUUCAAUUACUACAGAUAUACAGUACCAGUCAAGUUUGGACACACCUACUUGUUCAAGGGUUUUUCUUUAUUUGUACUAUUUUCUACAUUGUAGAAUAACAAUGAAGACCUCAAACUAUGAAAACCUAAAAAAGUGUUAAACAAAGUAUCCACUCUUUGCCUUGAUGAAUGUUUUGCACACUCUUGGCAUUCUGUCAACCAGCCUCACCUGGAAUGCUUUUCGAACAGUCUUGAAUGAGUUCCCACAUAUGCUGAGCACUUGUUGCCUGCUUUUCCUUCACUCUGCGGUCCAAACCAUCUCAAUUGGCUUGAGGUUGGGUGAUUGUGGAGGCCAGCACUCCAUCACUCUCAUUCUUGGUCAAAUAGCCAUUACACAGCCUGGAGGUGUCUUGGGGUCAUUGUCUUGGUGAAAAACAAAUGAUAGUCCCACUAAGCGCAAACCAGAUGGGAUGGCAUAUUGCUGCUGUGGUAGCCAUGCUGGUUAAGUGUGCCUUGAAUUCUAAAUAAAUCACUGACAGUGUCACCAGUAGAGCACCAUCACACCUCCGUGCUUCACGGUGGGAAUCAUACAUGCGGAGAUCAUCCGUUCACCUACUCUGCAUCUCACAAAGACACAGCGGUUAGAACCAGAAAUCUCAAAUUUAGACUCCUCAGACCAAAGGACAGAUUUCCACCGGUCUAAUGUCCAUUGCUCGUGCUUCUUGGUCCAAGUAAGUCUCUUAUUAUUGGUGUCCUUUUAAUAGUGGUUUGUUUGCAGCAAUUCGACCAUGAAGGCCUGAUUUUCCUCUGAACAGUUGAUGCGGAGACGAAUUGCCUGACCAUGUCUUAGAGUAAUGAGCUGUUCUUGCCUUAAUAUGGACCCUGUUUGGUAAAAUACCAUCUUCUGUAUACCACCCCUAACUUGGCACAACACAACUGAUUGACUCAAACACAUUAAGAAGGAAAGAAAUUCCACAAAUUAAUUUAAGGCACACCUGUUAAUUGAAAUGCAUUCCAGAUGACUGCCUCAUGAAGCUUGUUGAGAGAAUACCAAGAGUGCAAAGCUGUCAAGGCAAAGGGUGGCUACUUUGAAGAAUCUGAACUCUAUUGAGUUGACACUUUUUUUUUUUGUUACUACAUGAUCCCAUGUGCUAUUUCAUAGUUUUGAUGUCUUCACUAUUAUUCUACAAUAGUGAAAAUAAAGAGAAACCCUUGAAUGGGUAGGUGUGUCCAAACAUUUGACUGGUACUGUGUAUAUAUAUAUUUAUAUAAUGACAUACUAACUUCUAAGAAUGGCUUUGGUUGGACUGUUCUUUUUAAGAAAAAUAAAUGAAUAAAUAUAAAAUGUCACUCAGGUAGCAUUGGUAAAGCCAUGACAAAGUUGGAACAAUUUUGUUUUCUGCCAAAUGGUUCAGAACAAGAUCCUCAUAUUGUGCUCAAAUUUGAAUUGCUAAAAUAUUGAAUUGGAGUCAUAUUUAAUAAUAAAAUACCAAAAUAUUUAGCUUACAGAAAACACUGACAUUGCUUGCAAGCAGCUGUCAUACAUGUUAUGUAGGCUUCAAACUUUUUAAAGUUCUCUGUUUAGGCAAUUUCACUUUAAGCACACUGAUUUGCACCGUUUUCCACCUGUUAUUGGACAGGGUGAUGUCUUACUGUCCUUGAUUCUUUUGUCAUUCAUGACCUGAAGCACUUCUGUGUUCCCAGUCCAGGUUAUAUGCAAUGGCAGGAAUCUAUGUCUGUGCUUCCUAGUCCAGCCCUGUCUGGUCACGUCAUGGCUUGUUCUUGCAGACUGAGAGGGAACUACAAGAAGGUCACACAUACUGCUGUGUACAAAACUGUGUCUCACAUACACUUAAAGGGCAAUUCUGCCACUUUUCAACCUCAUUCAUCUCCGCACCAUACCAGUGUCUCUACAUAUGAAAAACAUACAUUUCUGUGGUUUAGAAGAAAAGUACUACAAAAAGUCUUCUCUGUGACAUCACAGGGUAGGUUUUAAAAGUAAGAAACUGAUUUUCCAAAACCAACAAAUUUCUAGCCAGGGGGAGGGUAUUUUCUUGCUCCCCGCGUCAUUGUGAAUCUCAUUGCAUUUGAGAAAUUGCUGUUUGUCAUCAGGUAGAACUUUUUAGUAAUGCACCAUUUUCACAUGUGUAGACACUGGUAUUGUGCUGGAGAUAAUGAAAAGUGGUGAGAUUACCCUUUUUAAGUUACUUCGCUGUGGAAUUCAAAGCAAAGGAUAGACCUCUGGGAUGUGGUAUUUUACUAAGUGUUAUCAGAUGGGGAAACUCCUAUCGAGCAAAAUAAUAUCUUAUUUGGCUAAUGCUGGACAAUGGCGAAAUGUAUCUGUUUUAUUUUUGUCUUGAUCGGCAGUGGGAAUUGUUUUUGCGAUGGACAACCAAGUUUGAAUAGUUUGCAAUGGUGACAUUGACGGCAAAAAAUAAAAUGUAUAUCUUCUUUUAAAAAUGUUACUUGUACUUUGAAUGUUCAUGCAGUCGAUUUAUGUUACUUUACUUGGUUCCCCAAAAUAUUGGAAUAGAAAACACCAGAUCAUACCACGGGGUAAAAAAAACUAAACAAGUUUGUAAUUUUCAUAACCCUAAUCUCUUUUUUUAUUUUUUAUCCUGAGUGUGAGAACAAGUAUGCUUCUUUGUGAAAGCGGGCAGGCAAUCUCUUUUGAAGUCGGUGUGUAAAAGUGCUCUAACAGUUCUAAGUACAUAUUAUGUUCAUUGUUUUGAUCCAAACAUGUCCCCUUUUAUUUGAGUCUUAAGAGGGCUCAUUGAUCUCUAGGGAAAUAACGCAUAAGUUUUCCCCCUUAGAUAUUUUAAAGCACUUAAGUAAAAUGGGUAUUUUUUUUUGUAUUUAAGAAAAUAAUAUAGCUAUAUUAAUUCAACGAUAGUGUAAUAGGAUGUAAACCAAAAACUGGUUCUUAAAAGAGGAGUUGGUUUGAGAAAUACUUUCCUACAAGAGAGCGUGUUUGUGCUUUGUGUGGUGAAAGAAAAUUGAGAAAGUGAUUUCUGUCUGUAUUUUCAUCCCCCUUAGGAUGUGCAAUCACCUCAAGGAUUCUCGCACAGUCCUCUGAGUUCUGAAUAGGAGGACUGCUGUUUGAUGUGUGUGUAAAAGUGAGCUCUUCCAAUUAUAUGCAAGUUUCCCCUUUUUUUCCAAGACCCUUGUAUCAUGUUCAUGUGCCUGUGUGAAAAGUAUGCUUUUACAGUGAUUUGGAUCUUUUUUUGUUUGUUUUGAAAAUCAUUUGUGCCAUGUCUUUUUGUUAUAAAAAAAUAAUCUACAUUUGCAAUGUUGUUUAACAUUUUUUACAGCUUCCUUUGCUGCUUCCUUUCACUGACAUGGAAGAAGUUGAAAGCAAUGUGCGUGUUUAGAUGUGUUUAGAUCUUUUGAAUAAAUUUCGAAUCGAAUGAUGUGCAACAUCUUUCAGUGGGCUUUUAAUGAAACCUGCUUGGUGGUAUGUUAUAGUCUGUCUGUCGUUAAGUUAGUAGAGCAAUUUUGAAUUUGACUUUUGAAUUUAUCUAACGCAUUAAUGUAUUAACUUUAUGUUUAAUAAGCUGUUUGUUUUAUUUUGUGUCACUUAAUUUAUUUGUAGAUGCACAACUAGAAUGGAACUAUUUUGCUUCAAAGGAAAAUGAUAGGGAGAAUUAGGCUAAGCUGUCUCAUUUUUAAAAUCUUAACAAGUACCUACUUUUUUUUAGACCAUUUCAUUAUUGAAUCUCAAUUCUCAUAAUUUUAUAUAAAUCCCCAAUGUUCAGAUCUUUGUGUCUGAAAACAAAUGGUAAUGGUGGAGAUAUGAGCACUGAAAGAAAUCCAGAGUGUUCCUAUAAAGAAUUUGUCCCUGAUGUUCUUCAUCACAUGUGUUAAAGGGGAUUGAUAUACUGUUUGACAACUCUUAUUUUUUGUUUGCCAAAGGUACUAGUGUACUUUUCAGAUAUUUAGCCGCUGUAUGGUCCAUGCUCUUACAUUGGAAAGACUGAUGGUUUAAGCCAGCCUUUGUCUGAGCCAACAGCAGCUGAAUGUCUGUGUUGGUAUGAGUGAGGACAAAUUUAAAUUAAAUAAAAACAUGUAAAUAGAAAUCACAAAUACCGAAAGUGCUGCUUCUUCAUCCAGUUAUCGAUUGUCUGUAAUGGGAAAUGCUGGACUCGAGGUGAAAAUGGAGCGAACACCGUCUCCCAUGCCUCCUGUAAAAACAUUUGGAGGGGGGAGGGGCUAUUUUGUUUACUCUCUUUGGCACAUGAGAGCUAUUUGUAGAUGCACAUUAUGUUAAAGACAAGUGAAAAUUGUUUAUUUCUGGGGCUCCACAGUAGCUUUUUGAAAGAUGGUGUUGUCAUACUGAGAUGUGUGUCUGAAGAAAACAGCUGUGUGUGGUGCCAAGUCCAUCUUUGUACUCUUUCUCUCUGUCAUCUCUGUGCCUGUUGAUGGAUUAUCAAUUGGCUCCUAGGAAAUUUGCCCCUCAGAAUUUGAGGCAUUUACAAGUUUUAGUGUGAAAUGGUUUUCAGAAUUUAACAAAUGCAUUUUUUUUGCAUGAUAAUAUCCCUCAAUUUCCAAAUAAAUGCAAGAAAUUCAGUGUUCACAAUUUCAGUUUCCAUUAAACUGUAAAAUUUUCUUUAAAAAUCCUC